GGCUCCCCGCGCACGCCGUCUCCCUGCCCCCAGCUCCGCUCCCGCCGGGAUCUCAGCGCUGAGGCUUCUCCUCUUCCUCCCGCCUCCGCCUCCCUCCUCUCCUUGCGGGUCUCCUCCGUCUUCUCCCCUCCACACUGAUUUGCUUCCCGCUCGUCUUCCCUCUCCAUGCAGCUCCCGCAGCCCCCCCCUGCGCCCGUCGUGGCGCCCACGCGGCGGGCAGCAGCGGGCCGACUGCGCCCGCCUGAGAGGAACACGAGGGAGGACGUCCCCCAGCCGGAGAAGCGCCCACACACCUCGCUCGCUCUGUCUCUCGCUCUGUCUCUGCCCAGAGCCCGGUUUGAAGGAGACACAGUGCGAUGGCUCCACCUGAGGGGCUCAGCCGCCAAGCCAGUCCCCCCCGCACCAGGGCUGGACACCAGCGCGGGGGGACCGAACCCACACCUGUCGUUUGAGAACUGCCGCGUGCCUGCUGCUUUACAGGCUCAGCACGUUCUUAUGCAAAGUGGAAGCCACUGGUGGUCACAGAGAUUGACUGUUUACUUUUCAAGAGUGGGCUGUGCUCCUUUCCCAAGGAGGGCAAGGACAUAACUUACAAAAGGAAAAAUACGGGAGAACCCCCUCCUCUCACAGCUACGUUUCUGUGGCGUGAGUUCUCUUAAGGCACAGAGCUACUUUUCAGCAUGUCACAGAGAGCGAACAUGGAAGCAUGGCGUUUACGGCUUUCCCCCAAAAGUGAUCUGUGCCUGGAUCCCGAGCAGACCUGAGCUUUAUAGGGCGUCAUAGGCUGUUGCUUUUCUAAAUGUCACGGACAUAAAACGAACUUUAUGGAAGCACCGAGUUCUCAUGAGUACUGAUUCUGCGACCAGGCCCGGCAGCACAGGGAUGGGGGAGGAAUUGUCCGGAUCCUGGAAUAAUCACGGGGCUGCACAGCCUCGCUCUGGGCUUCUGUGUCCUACUUAUUUACAGACUCGUCAUCCGUUCUGCGGAUUGGGCCAGCGAGUUGCUCUGUUGACAGCCAAAGGCACUCAUGGGAAGACUUAAACAACCAAGUGUGACAGCACACGUGGGGUCAGUCCGUCUACCAUGAAAGUAGGACCCGUGUCUGCCUCAGGUGUGAGUCUUUGGAUGGAUCUAUUUGUUACUGGAGGUGGUGGGGAGGAUGGUGUUUGAGGGUUUUGUGGUUGCUGCUGUCCGUGUUGUUGAACUCUUUCUAGGAAAUCAUUGUGGAGCGAUAGCUUUGUGUUAGUUCCUGGAAGGACAUGACUAAGGAUACUUGCCGAGGGUUAGUUGCAGAUCUCGGUGCCACAUUUGGGGAAGGACUUCCACGCUUUGCAGUUAAAGAUGCUCCCUUAAAGGAAACCCACUUUAUUCACACCUUUGGGUCGAUGUUAGAGAGCAAUAUGUUGAAAUUGGUCUGCAGCCCACUUGCAUCAGAAUCACCUGGGUUUGAUGUAAGAAAUGCAGAUUCUGGGGCCUCACACCAACUACAUCUCUUGGGGUUAGAGCCCAGGUGGUAGCUUCUGUGACCUCCAUUGCUGACUCUAAGGCUUUCCCAACCUAAGAACCACUCUCUUUUACUUUUAGAUUGGGGAUUCUUACACAGUGAUCAAAGAAGCCCAAUUUUUUCCUUUACUCCGAAGACUUUAAACACUGGACCGUGACCUCCUUAGGGACAGUGUGACUUUGCUCCUCUCGCACACUCAGCCUAGAGACGGUGCCCAGAUCAGAAAUAAAGCAGGUGAAGAAAAA